AAAACCUUUAUGUAUUCUUUUAUUUUUUAACGUGAUAAAUAAAUCACUCCCCUAUUCAUUUGGUUUCUCUCUCCAACGCUUACAAUAAUUCACUCACGCAGCAUUAAACGUAUCUCGAUUCCCAUCAUCAUCCCUUUCCCCAAUUCAAUUUUCCCUAACCUAAAUCAAUCAAGCGUGAUUCUUCUCCACCAUCUCCCUAGAACUGGCGAUCCAAAUCCUUGGUUUUAUUCGAUUGCAGCGCUCCUCACCCUUACCCGAGGUCGCCAUUUAUUUGAUUGGAGUCGUCCCUCACCCUUACCCAAGGCCCCCUAAUAAAGUUACUGCUAUUUGAACGUCUGAUUUUGAUACAGACAGUUUCUUUUCUAAGUGAAAUCAUGUCCAUGACGAGUAGUAUUGAUGGAUUUUUGAAGAGGUUUGACUCUUGAAGCUAGAGAUAUUCCUGUUAGUCUCCUUUCUAUGAAUCUGCUUUGAUUUUUGAAGAGGUUUGACUCUUGAGGAUGAUUUUCAAUGUAUCAUGCUGUAUUCUUCCUGGAACCAAUACAUGUAUUUCUUAUUUUGUGGAUGUUUAAUUGAAUUGGUGUUUCAUCACUUUUUUUCAGCAACAAUGCCAAUAAUGUAUGUUUAUAAUGAGAGAUGCAGUCUAGAUAUACACUACAGGGAAUGCGAAAUGAGAGAUGCAGAUGACACAACAACAUGCACUUCAAGCAUGAGCCCCAACGUUUUGUUUUCCCCUUUAAGUUCUUAUAGUUACUUUUAUAUGAAAUUGUAUUUGUGUUAAAAUGUAGAUACCUAUCUUUUAUACGAUUGGUUCUACAGGUUCAUACGGGGUGAAAUAUUAAAAUGUAGAUUCAUAUCUUUUAUACUUUUAUAUGAUUGGUUCUACAGGUUCA